CCUCUGCAAUUUAUUUAUUGCAAGAUUCUUUGAUGUGAUUGCAGUUGAUUUGACCUUUCCAAGUUAUAUCACGAAGCUCGUUCAAUGAUUCAUUACGUUUGUUGCUAAGUUCAUAAGUACCAUCCAAUCAAAUUGUAUGUUUGGAAUAAAAGCCGGUUACGAAAGUCUAUCUAAACGUUUAAACUUUACAAUACAAACGAACUAGGUUGACUGUAGCUGGUUGGAUGUUUCACAUUAUGUCACACGUUAUCGCUCUCGGGCUUGUGACAUAUAUAUGUUGGUUUGCUGUACCCGGAACAAGUCUAUUUUCAUGGCAUCCAACACUGAUGAUACUUGGUUUUGGUUUUUUCAUGCUGGAGGCAAUUCUAAUAUUUUCAAAAAACAGUAACCUUUUCCCAAAUGCAACUCAAGCAGUCAAGGUUCGGUGCCAUUGGAUCCUCCAAAUUUUGGCAACAUCUUGUGCUGUUGGAGGAUUUCUUGUCAUCUUUAUAAACAAGAAUCGAAGCAAUAAGCCACAUUUCAUAUCCUGGCAUGGCAUUCUUGGAGCCAUCACUAUGUUCCUAACAUGUAUUCAAACAUCC